UUUCAAUGGAGCAUCUGUAAUUUACUCUUCAGCAGUCCGUCAGUAGGGAAACGGUCGUUUGACUCAAUUCGACGUUCAUACAUCCCAUCUCUCACUCCAAAACCCUAGCUCCUCACUUAUUAUUCUCGAUUGAGAAUCUCUGAACAUCUUCUGCAAUGGCUACUGUACCAGUCAAUCCCAAACCUUUCCUCAACAAUUUGACUGGAAAGAGGGUCAUCGUAAAACUCAAGUGGGGAAUGGAAUAUAAAGGUUUUCUUGUCUCAGUGGAUUCAUACAUGAACUUGCAGCUGGCCAACAGUGAGGAAUAUAUUGAGGGACAAUUUACUGGAAAUCUUGGAGAGAUUUUGAUCAGAUGUAACAACGUUCUCUAUCUUCGCGGGGUACCUGAGGAUGAGGAUGUAGAAGAAGCAGAAGAAGACUAGUGAUGGCCCUCUAACCUGAGGAUGAAGAAGUUAGUCUAUAAGUGAUGCUGGGUGAUACCAACAAGCACGCAUGCUGCUGAUCCACAAACCUGAAAAGGAGAAUUAGGAAAGUGAGAUGUUUUUGAGUUAUGGAUUUUGGCUGUUGGAAAUUGAAUGCUCAUCACAAAACUAAUUAAUAUGCUCUUUUUUCUUUCUUUUGGACUUUUGGUGAAUGGUUUUUGGAUGGAAGUUUUGGUAACCAUACAGUUUGAGCAUUUGGAAUGCAACCUUAUCCAUUUGAGUCCAAGAUAAGAUUGGAGAAUGGAAGGUGCAUGGAAGGACUAGAUGGUGGAGAAAUAUAGAAGUUUGGACGCAUCAGGAGAAGAAAUCCCAAAACAGAAAUGAUAGGAUUGGAGAAUGGAAGGUGGAAGGACUUAAUGCUGGAGAUAUCUAGAACUUUGGUUUGGACUCAUCAGGACAAGAAGGUCCAGCACUCAUUUUUCAUUCUCUCACUCUUCCAGAAAAGGUUUAGAGAAAUUGAGUUACUUUCUAAACAUCUUUUGUUUCUAUUUUUUCAUAAAAACUCCAUGCAUAUAUAUUUACCCAAAGAAGAAAAAUUCACCCAAAAUAGGGGCAGAGCUUUACUUUCGACGCAAGAGGAGCCAAAUUAGGAAAGAAAUAUUUUGUGAGACGAUAUUCAAAAUGUAACUUUUGUUCUUCAGAUACUACUUAUUAUAGGAUGUUCAUAGAUUUGUACUCCUAUUAUGGAUUAAAUAAUUCCUUUAGUACGUGACAGAACUC